UUUGAUCACUGGUUACUGAGGU
rnacentral:miRNA from 1 species